ACGGCUCAGUAACACGUGGACAACCUGCCCUUAGGUUGGGUAUAAACCCGGGAAACUGGGUAUAAUACCCGAUAGGUCUCGAUUGCUGGAAUGCAUCGAGAUUUAAAGCUCCGGCGCCUAAGGAUGGGUCUGCGGCCUAUCAGGUAGUAGUGGGUGUAGCGUACCUACUAGCCUACGACGGGUACGGGUUGUGAGAGCAAGAGCCCGGAGAUGGAUUCUGAGACACGAAUCCAGGCCCUACGGGGUGCAGCAGGCGCGAAAACUUUACAAUGCUGGCAACAGCGAUAAGGGAACCUCGAGUGCCAGGUUACAAAUCUGGCUGUCGAGAUGCCUAAAAAGCAUUUCAUAGCAAGGGCCGGGCAAGACCGGUGCCAGCCGCCGCGGUAACACCGGCGGCUCGAGUGGUAACCGUUAUUAUUGGGUCUAAAGGGUCUGUAGCCGGCCGGAUAAGUCUCUUGAGAAAUCUGGCAGCUUAACUGUCAGGCUUUCAGGAGAUACUGUCUGGCUCGAGGCCGGGAGAGGUGAGAGGUACUUCAGGGGUAGGGGUGAAAUCUUGUAAUCCUUGAAGGACCACCAGUGGCGAAGGCGUCUCACCAGAACGGACCUGACGGCAAGGGACGAAAGCUAGGGGCACGAACCGGAUUAGAUACCCGGGUAGUCCUAGCCGUAAACGAUACUCGCUAGGUGUCGGCCACGGUGCGACCGUUGUCGGUGCCGUAGGGAAGCCGUGAAGCGAGCCACCUGGGAAGUACGGCCGCAAGGCUGAAACUUAAAGGAAUUGGCGGGGGAGCACCACAACGGGUGGAGCUUGCGGUUUAAUUGGAUUCAACGCCGGAAAUCUUACCGGGACCGACAGCAAUAUGAAGGCCAGGCUGAAGACUUUGCCGGAUUAGCUGAGAGGUGGUGCAUGGCCGUCGUCAGUUCGUACUGUGAAGCAUCCUGUUAAGUCAGGCAACGAGCGAGACCCCCACC
rnacentral:rRNA from 1 species